AUUUUAUUAAUAAAUUUAUCAUUAAAGGCAGCUUUACAUGUAUACCGGCUACGUAAUACUAAUGUGACUGUUUGAUAAUACAUAAUUUGUGAUUCAAGACUAUGACAUUUAUUAACAAAACAGAUAGGGUAUAAUAUUUGGAUAUUAUUUUAUAGAAUUUAAUUUAAUUGAAUGAAUUUGAAAUUUCUUUAUAUGUAACAUCAAUAUGUUGUUAACUUUGAAUAUCUUUCCACUUUAAAUAUAACCUCCUUUGCCGGUUACAAAAAAUUGUAGUAAGUUAUGAUUAUAUUGUUAUCGAAACAGUUGAACAUUAAUAUAUAAUAAAAAGUAUGACUGCGAGAUGGGAAAUAUACUUUUUGACAAUAUCAAUGUUAUUGUUUAUCGUUUGUGUACAAAGUUUGCAAAGUUUAGAAGUAAUAUAUGCAAUAAAUGCUGGUGGAGAUACACAUACUGACAGUUAUGGAAUUCGUUAUACUAGAGAUCCUUUAAUGAAUAAAGUUGGAACUGCAUCUGAUUAUGGCAAGCAGUUAAUUAUUGGUCGAGUAAAUACUAUUGACCAAAUUUUGUAUCAAACUGAACGUUAUCAUCAUAGCACAUUUGGAUAUGAUAUUCCAAUAAAUGAAGAUGGAGAUUAUGUUAUGAUAUUAAAAUUUUGUGAAGUUUAUUUUAACUCUCCUAAUAUGAAGGUAUUUGAUGUUGUAUUAAAUGGAGAUCAUACUGUUGUUACUGAUUUAGAUAUCUUUGAGAGAGUUGGACGUGGUAUAGCACAUGAUGAAUAUAUAUCAUUUAAAGUUCAAGCUGGAAAAUUAAUAUAUAAUGAUGAAGAAUCUGACAUAUUAGCUGGAAAAAUUAGAGUUGAAUUUAUAAAAGGUUAUAGAGACAAUCCAAAGAUAAAUGCUAUUGCAGUAGUGAAAGGAAAUAUAGAAGAUAUACCACAAUUGGGCCCAAUUCCUCAAGAACCAGAAGAAUAUCAUAAUAUACAAGAAGAUGAGGAAGAAUCUACAGUUCGUAGUCGACAUACAAGUGGUCCUAGAACUCCAGAUCCUUAUUCAAUUGAUGAUUCUUCAGUAAUGUUACCAGUCUUUGUAGCUCUUGGGGCAUUUAUUCCUUUAUUAUUUUGCCUAUGUAAAUUAUAGGUGAUAAAAUUUUGCACAUAAAUGCCUUGUACUUAAAAAAUAUAAUUUAAUCAGCUUAGAAAUAAUAUUACAGGAGAAAUUAAGGGGAAAUAAUAUGUAAAGACAUACAGUACAAUAAAUCUAAGUACUUUAUUUUAGUACAUGCACAUAAAAUGUUAUAAAUGAAAUUUAUGAUUAAUUUAUU